CAGUCGCCACGGGAAUACGAAGGGGGCUAGCGUUGCUCGGAAUGACUGGGCGUAAAGGGCGCGUAGGCGGAUUGUUUAGUUAGGCGUGAAAUUCCUGGGCUUAACCUGGGGACUGCGCUUAAUACAGGCAGUCUAGAGUGAGGAAGAGGGUUGUGGAAUUCCCAGUGUAGAGGUGAAAUUCGUAGAUAUUGGGAAGAACACCGGUGGCGAAGGCGGCAACCUGGUCCUUGACUGACGCUGAGGCGCGAAAGCGUGGGGAGCAAACAGGAUUAGAUACCCGCGUAGUCCCUGUCUCUUAUAC
rnacentral:rRNA from 1 species